rnacentral:rRNA from 1 species
UGGCGGCAUGCCUUUAACAUGCAAUUCGAACGGCAGCACGGGUGCUUGCACCUGGUGGCGAGUGGCGAACGGGUGAGUAAUACAUCGGAACAUGUCCUGUAGUGGGGGAUAGCCCGGCGAAAGCCGGAUUAAUACCGCAUACGAUCCAUGGAUGAAAGCGGGGGACCUUCGGGCCUCGCGCUAUAGGGUUGGCCGAUGGCUGAUUAGCUAGUUGGUGGGGUAAAGGCCUACCAAGGCGACGAUCAGUAGCUGGUCUGAGAGGACGACCAGCCACACUGGGACUGAGACACGGCCCAGACUCCUACGGGAGGCAGCAGUGGGGAAUUUUGGACAAUGGGCGAAAGCCUGAUCCAGCAAUGCCGCGUGUGUGAAGAAGGCCUUCGGGUUGUAAAGCACUUUUGUCCGGAAAGAAAUCCUUGGCUCUAAUACAGCCGGGGGAUGACGGUACCGGAAGAAUAAGCACCGGCUAACUACGUGCCAGCAGCCGCGGUAAUACGUAGGGUGCAAGCGUUAAUCGGAAUUACUGGGCGUAAAGCGUGCGCAGGCGGUUUGCUAAGACCGAUGUGAAAUCCCCGGGCUCAACCUGGGAACUGCAUUGGUGACUGGCAGGCUAGAGUAUGGCAGAGGGGGGUAGAAUUCCACGUGUAGCAGUGAAAUGCGUAGAGAUGUGGAGGAAUACCGAUGGCGAAGGCAGCCCCCUGGGCCAAUACUGACGCUCAUGCACGAAAGCGUGGGGAGCAAACAGGAUUAAAUACCCUGGUAUUCCCCCCCUAACGAUGUCAACUAGUUGUUGGGGAUUCAUUUCCUAAUAACGU